rnacentral:rRNA from 1 species
GAGUUUGAUCGUGGCUCAGGAUGAACGCUGGCGGCGUGCUUAACACAUGCAAGUCGAACGGGAAUUACUUUAUUGAAACUUCGGUCGAUUUAAUUUAAUUCUAGUGGCGGACGGGUGAGUAACGCGUGGGUAACCUGCCUUAUACAGGGGGAUAACAGUCAGAAAUGACUGCUAAUACCGCAUAAGCGCACGGAACCGCAUGGUUCUGUGUGAAAAACUCCGGUGGUAUAAGAUGGACCCGCGUUGGAUUAGCUUGUUGGUGAGGUAACGGCUCACCAAGGCGACGAUCCAUAGCCGGCCUGAGAGGGUGAACGGCCACAUUGGGACUGAGACCACGGCCCAGACUCCUACGGGAGCAGCAGUGAGGAAUAUUGGUCAAUGGGCUGAGCCUGAACCAGCCAAGUCGCGUGAGGG